UAAUGAAGGAAGCAUGGUAAUGUGCACAGAGAUUGAUAACUGAUGAUAAGGUCGAUAUGUCUGUCCCCUCUGAAUCUUUUUACUGAUUUGGGGGCCUGGUUGAGACCUACAUUU